GACGAACGCUGGUGGCGUGCUUAACACAUGCCAGUCGAACGGGAUUUAGUAAACAGAAGCCUCGGUGGAAGAUUACUAAUGAGAGUGGCGAACGGGCGAGUAACGCGUGAGCAACCUGCCUAUGACAGUGGGAUAGCCUCGGGAAACCGGGAUUAAUACCGCAUAAAAUCGUAGAAACACAUGUUUUAACGGUCAAAGAUUUAUCGGUCAUAGAUGGGCUCGCGUCUGAUUAGCUAGUUGGUGAGAUAACAGCCCACCAAGGCGACGAUCAGUAGCCGGUCUGAGAGGAUGAACGGCCACAUUGGAACUGAGACACGGUCCAAACUCCUACGGGAGGCAGCAGUGGGGAAUAUUGCACAAUGGGGGAAACCCUGAUGCAGCGACGCCGCGUGAACGAAGAAGGUAUUCGUAUCGUAAAGUUCUGUCCUAUGGGAAGAUAAUGACAGUACCAUAGAAGAAAGCUCCGGCUAAAUACGUG
rnacentral:rRNA from 1 species